GAUGAACGCUGGCGGCGUGCCUAACACAUGCAAGUCGAGCGAACCCUUCGGGGUGAGCGGCGGACGGGUGAGUAACGCGUGGGUAACCUGCCCUAUACACACGGAUAACGUACCGAAAGGUACGCUAAUACGGGAUAAAGUUGUUGGAUGGCAUCUUCUAACAAUCAAAGCUCCGGCGGUAUAGGAUGGACCCGCGUCUGAUUAGCUAGUUGGUGAGGUAAUGGCUCACCAAGGCGACGAUCAGUAGCCGACCUGAGAGGGUGAUCGGCCACACUGGAACUGAGACACGGUCCAGACUCCUACGGGAGGCAGCAGUGGGGAAUAUUGCACAAUGGGCGAAAGCCUGAUGUAGCAACGCCGCGUGAGCGAUGAAGGUCUUCGGAUCGUAAAGCUCUGUCCUCAAGGAAGAUAAUGAUGGUACUUGAGGAGGAAGCCCCGGCUAACUACGUGCCAGCCGCCGCGGUAA
rnacentral:rRNA from 1 species